rnacentral:rRNA from 1 species
AUUGAACGGUGGCGGCAUGCUUUACACAUGCAAGUCGAACGGCAGCGCGGGGCAACCUGGCGGCGAGUGGCGAACGGGUGAGUAAUAUAUCGGAACGCACCCAGAAGUGGGGGAUAACGUAGCGAAAGUUACGCUAAUACCGCAUACGAUCUACGGAUGAAAGUGGGGGACCUUCGGGCCUCAUGCUUUUGGAGCGGCUGAUAUCUGAUUAGCUAGUUGGUGAGGUAAAGGCUCACCAAGGCGACGAUCAGUAGCUGGUCUGGGAGGACGACCAGCCACACUGGGACUGAGACACGGCCCAGACUCCUACGGGAGGCAGCAGUGGGGAAUUUUGGACAAUGGGGGCAACCCUGAUCCAGCCAUGCCGCGUGAGUGAAGAAGGCCUUCGGGUUGUAAAGCUCUUUCAGUCGGGAAGAAAACGCAUGGGUUAAUACCCUGUGUGGAUGACGGUACCGGAAUAAGAAGCACCGGCUAACUACGUGCCAGCCGCCGCGGUAA